AUGCUCAACGACCAGAUCGUCGUCUCGUCCUCUCCAAGAGAAGGGGACAACUCAAGCAGACACCUCCCGUCGACGAUGGCGAUGACCGCUACCCUUCUCCUCUCCCAGCAAAGUCAGGUCUACCUCUCCUGUGAAGAACACAUGUUCGUAAUUGAUACACCUAGGCUCAGCUUCUCUAUUGGUAUGAAGGCGUGGAGCGUGAUUCUCUUGUUUUCAACUCGAGGCGAUCAGGCCAGUAAACAUGCUAAGCUUGCCUGGCUGGCACACACGCUUAGGCACAACAAUCGGCCCCGGCACCGCGCGCCAAGGCGCGCUGCAGCUUCUGGCUCUUUUGCUCCCAAGCUGGCCUCGCUUUCCUCGGUGGUCAGCGGGAGAAGCAUGAGGCGCUGCACCUCUGACCCCGUAGUGCUCAGCUCCAAUUCAUCAGGGAGGCCAGCGGCAAGCAUCAAGUUUCCCUUGGUGCUUCCUCAUCAAGGAGGACGACUCGGGCAGCGCCGUCCUCAAGGUUGCUGUCACUCCUCGGCACUCCGCAGGAUAGGCACAUCCGCCACCACACCGCAGAACAGACGAGGAUGUGAUGCUCCUCCUUCUUGUGGUGUAUGUGUUGGCGUGGCUUGCCGUAGUGAGGCAUAUCCUCGUGGGCAAUGCUAUUUGAAGACCAUUCAAGUGAUUUAA
rnacentral:rRNA from 1 species